UUUCUUUAUAAAAGAUAGCCGCAAUAUCGGCAACAAUCUCCCUGAAAAUAAUAUUGAUGGAAAUGGAGCUCAAAAUCUUGACGGGGAUUGGCCAUUUUUUAAUGGUAUCGAAGUGAAACGCGUCAUUGAAACACAGUUAAUACAUUUUACUGAGUUUCAGAACUCCGACAGAAGCAUUUUUAGAGACAAUACUAG